GAUGAACGCUGGCGGCGUGCCUAAUACAUGCAAGUCGAGCGAACGGACGAGAAGCUUGCUUCUCUGAUGUUAGCGGCGGACGGGUGAGUAACACGUGGAUAACCUACCUAUAAGACUGGGAUAACUUCGGGAAACCGGAGCUAAUACCGGAGGAUCUUUUGAACCGCAUGGUUCAAAAGUGAAAGACGGUCUUGCUGUCACUUAUAGAUGGAUCCGCGCUGCAUUAGCUAGUUGGUAAGGUAACGGCUUACCAAGGCAACGAUGCAUAGCCGACCUGAGAGGGUGAUAGGCCACACGGGAACUGAGACACGGUCCAGACUCCUACGGGAGGCAGCAGUAGGGAAUCUUCCGCAAUGGGCGAAAGCCUGACGGAGCAACGCCGCGUGAGUGAUGAAGGUCUUCGGAUCGUAAAACUCUGUUAUUAGGGAAGAACAUAUGUGUAAGUAACUGUGCACAUCUUGACGGUACCUAAUCAGAAAGCCACGGCUAACUACGUG
rnacentral:rRNA from 1 species